GAUGAACGCUGGCGGCGUGCCUAAUACAUGCAAGUCGAGCGAACAGACGAGGAGCCUGCUCCUCUGACGUUAGCGGCGGACGGGUGAGUAACACGUGGAUAACCUACCUAUAAGACUGGGAUAACUUCGGGAAACCGGAGCUAAUACCGGAUAAUAUAUUGAACCGCAUGGUUCAAUAGUGAAAGACGGUUUUGCUGUCACUUAUAGAUGGAUCCGCGCCGCAUUAGCUAGUUGGUAAGGUAACGGCUUACCAAGGCAACGAUGCGUAGCCGACCUGAGAGGGUGAUCGGCCACACUGGAACUGAGACACGGUCCAGACUCCUACGGGAGGCAGCAGUAGGGAAUCUUCCGCAAUGGGCGAAAGCCUGACGGAGCAACGCCGCGUGAGUGAUGAAGGUCUUCGGAUCGUAAAACUCUGUUAUUAGGGAAGAACAAAUGUGUAGUAACUAUGCACGUCUUGACGGUACCUAAUCAGAAAGCCACGGCUAACUACGUG
rnacentral:rRNA from 1 species